AACCUCUGCAAUAGGCGAAAGCUUGACAGGGUUACUCUGAGUGAUUUCCGUUAAGGAGAUCUUUUGGCACCUCUAAAAAUGGUGCAGAAUAAGGGGUGGGCAAGUCUGGUGUCAGCCGCCGCGGUAAUACCAGCACCCCGAGUGGUCGGGACGUUUAUUGGGCCUAAAGCAUCCGUAGCCGGUUCUACAAGUCUUCCGUUAAAUCCACCUGCUCAACAGAUGGGCUGCGGAAGAUACUAUGGAGCUAGGAGGCGGGAGAGGCAAGCGGUACUCGAUGGGUAGGGGUAAAAUCCGUUGAUCCAUUGAAGACCACCAGUGGCGAAGGCGGCUUGCCAGAACGCGCUCGACGGUGAGGGAUGAAAGCUGGGGGAGCAAACCGGAUUAGAUACCCGGGUAGUCCCAGCUGUAAACGAUGCAGACUCGGUGAUGAGUUGGCUUUAUGCCAACUCAGUGCCGCAGGGAAGCCGUUAAGUUGCCGCCUGGGAGUACGUCGCAUGAAUCA
rnacentral:rRNA from 1 species